rnacentral:rRNA from 1 species
UGAGGAAUAUUGGUCAAUGGGCGCAAGCCUGAACCAGCCAUGCCGCGUGCAGGAUGACGGUCCUAUGGAUUGUAAACUGCUUUUGUACGAGAAGAAACAACAUUACGUGUAAUGUCUUGACGGUAUCGUAAGAAUAAGGAUCGGCUAACUCCGUGCCAGCAGCCGCGGUAAUACGGAGGAUCCAAGCGUUAUCCGGAAUCAUUGGGUUUAAAGGGUCCGUAGGCGGUUUAGUAAGUCAGUGGUGAAAGCCCAUCGCUCAACGGUGGAACGGCCAUUGAUACUGCUGAACUUGAAUUAUUAGGAAGUAACUAGAAUAUGUAGUGUAGCGGUGAAAUGCUUAGAGAUUACAUGGAAUACCAAUUGCGAAGGCAGGUUACUACUAAUGGAUUGACGCUGAUGGACGAAAGCGUGGGUAGCGAACAGGAUUAGAUACC